GGGAAGCCUACCUCAAGAUAAGAUUUCCCUAGGAAUUUAUUCCUCUAAAGAGCCGUUCGAGACUAGGACGUUGAUAGGUUGGAUGUGGAAGCAUAGUGAUAUGUGAAGCUGACCAAUACUAAUUGCUCGUGAGGCUUGACUAUACAACACCCAAGCAGUUG
rnacentral:rRNA from 1 species